UACAGAGGUCUCAAGCGUUGUUCGGAUUCAUUGGGCGUAAAGGGUGCGCAGGCGGAUAUGUAAGUCAGUGGUGAAAUCUCCGGGCUUAACCCGGAAAUUGCCGUUGAUACUAUAUAUCUUGAAUGCUGUGGAGGUAAGGCAGAAUAUGUCAUGUAGCGGUGAAAUGCUUAGAGAUGACAUAGAAUACCUAUUGCGAAGGCAGCUUACUACGCAGAUUAUUGACGUCAUGCACGAAAGCGUGGGGAUAAAACAGGAAUUGAGAUACC
rnacentral:rRNA from 1 species